AGAGUUUGAUCAUGGCUCAGAUAAACGUUGGCGGCGUGCUUAACACAUGCAAGUCGAGCGAGAAAGGUCUUCGGACUGAGUACAGCGGCAAACGGGUGAGUAACACGUGGGAAUCUACCUUUUAGUGAAGAAUACCCUCGAGAAAUCGAGGUUAAUACUGCAUACGUCUCGAAAGAGAGAAAGAUGGCCUCUUUGCUGUCGCUGAAAGAUGAGCCUGCGUACUAUUAGCUAGUUGGUAGGGUAAAGGCCUACCAAGGCUAUGAUGGUUAGCCGGCCUGAGAGGGUGUACGGCCACACUGGAACUUAGACACGGUCCAGACUCCUACGGGAGGCAGCAGUGAGGAAUAUUGCGCAAUGGGCGAAAGCCUGACGCAGCGACGCCGCGUGGAGGAUGAAGGUCUUAGGAUUGUAAACUUCUGUUAAGCGGGAAGAAAGACGAAGUGUUAAUACCACUUUAUGAUGACGGUACCGCUAAAGAAAGCACCGGCUAACUUCGUG
rnacentral:rRNA from 1 species